rfam:Trichobilharzia regenti genome assembly, scaffold: TRE_scaffold0000065
AUCCAGAUGACGAGUCUGAAAUAGAGCGAAAUGCGCAUCCUAGAU